CUAAUAAUGACUUGGACACUGCAGGCAUUUUUCAAACCCAGACAGAAUCAUAGCGCUAAAUCAAAAUGGAAAUGUCUAACAGUGAAGUGCCAGUGAAACAACAUUGGCUAAAGUUCAAUAUGAGAAUUCUGGGUCACAGGCAGCAUGCAAUGCAUUUCAUGUAUCUGAACAUGAUGUCCUCAGAUCAAUGCAGGUCAAAUGGGUCAUUUAUAUGGGCUGAAAUAUGUGCCACCAGAAACUGAAUUUGAACCAUUUAUAUUUGAAUUUGAAUGGCUAAACUUGAAUAAUUGCAUUGAAAAACUGAAUUUGAAUCACAUAAUUUGAAAUUGUUUUGUUUAAUUAAAAUUGAAUUUAUUCAAAAACUGAAUCUGAAUUGUAUCAUUUGAAAUUGAAUUUAUUCGUUUGGAACUGAAGUCCAAUAAAAUUUGAUCCUCACUGAAAAUUAAACUCUCUAUAUAUCUUCACAUUCACUUCUCACAAUUCAGAUUCAGUUCUCAAAUUCAAUUUCAAGUUACUGAGACAGACAUCCGGGUAGUUGGAGGAUGAAGGAAGAGCAAUCGAGCGCAGAUCGAUAGAUAGCGUUCAUUGGCGCACAGGACUCCUCUUGGGCCAAUCAGCACCAAUGUUUUGGAGCACAGUACGUUACCCGCCAUGAAACAAAGAAGAAGUGCUUGCCUGACUUGCGUGACCACCACCACCAUGGAUUCGGCUGGGACAAAUACGAUUCCUGCUGCUCCAGUAGCUCUGAUCGACUUCUCUGCUAAAGCCAAAAAAAAAAAGCUUGACUGUUCUAUUGAUGGCAGGACAACUGAAAACCAGUUAUGGAUGCAAACAUGAAGCACAAGCCAGAGGAGUCUAUGAGAAGCUGAUGGGUCAGGAGCAUGCAGGCUUCUCCUGUAUGGACAGUGGUCUCUGGCUGAACCCCAAGUGGCCAUACUGAU